rnacentral:rRNA from 1 species
UACAGAGGCCUCGAGCGUUAGGCGGAAUCACUGGGCUUAAAGCGUGUGUAGGCGGACCUCUAAGUGCCUUGUGAAAUCCCACGGCUCACCCGUGGAACUGCUGGGCAUACUGGGAGUCUUGAGCCACCUAGGGGCGAGCGGAACAAAUGGUGGAGCGGUGAAAUGCGUAGAUAUCAUUUGGAACGCCAACGGAGAAAUCAGCUCGCUGGGGGUGUGCUGACGCUGAGACACGAAAGCCAGGGGAGCGAACGGG